AUGACAAUGGAUGAGGUCGCU
rnacentral:miRNA from 1 species